GCGACAGGAGGAGGUGACAGGAGGAGGUGGAGCAGACAGGAGGAGGUGAAGACGACUUUUCAAACUGUGGAUCUCUUCUGAAGUGAUGAAGAUGAAGGCUUGGCUCCUCCUCCUCCUCGUGGCGCCGUACUCCUCCCUCUCGGCUUCGGGGGAAACGGAGGGGGCGUGGCCUCCCUGCCCCCCGCCGUGGCUCCUGGUGGGGAGGAGGUGCUUCGCUCUGCAGCCCGUGUGGAGCUCCUGGAGCAACGCGGAGCUGAUGUGCUCUCAGGUGGGAGGUCACCUGGCGUCGCUCCACACGGCGGAGGAGGAGGCGUUUGUGCGUCGGCUGGACAUCACACACCCUCAGGUGUGGCUGGGUGGAGGCCAGCAGAAGAACGGCUCUUGGUUUUGGAGCGACGGCUUCCCCUUCAGUGGCUGGACCAAUCAGAGGCCGGCAGAGGCCAGAGAGGGCGGGGCUUGCAUGGCACUGACACCAAAAAGUGGAGAGCUCAGCGCCGCCCCCUGUGGCGAGCUGCGGUUCUACAUCUGCUCCACCAGAGCCAGGAAACCAGUCCAUCCAGGCAUCGUGCGCGGUGUGAGCCUGUGUGACGUUAUGUGGGGUCACAGCGCCUCCCUGGCGGAGGAGAUCCUCCACUCCUCCUCCCUCCUCCGGCAGCUGCGCUCCGGCAACCUCACGCGGCGCUGCUACGACAGCUUCCUCCAGCAGGAGGCGCUGUACCUGCACCGGGUCAGCAGCACGCUGGAGGUCCUGAUUGGUCGUUCCCGGGAAGCGGACGACGUGACGUCACUGCUGCUGGACACGCUGAAGCAGUACAGCAGGAACCAGGAGUCCUUCCACCAGGUGGUCCAGGAGGAUCCGGUCUACUGGCUGGUGGCUCUGUCGGCCCGGGCCGCCCUGCGUCACUUCCUGUCCCGGGAGCUGGUCUCGGGGUCAGAGGUCACGGCCGGCCCCCUCCUCCGGGAGUGGAGCGCCGACGCCCAGACGAAGGUCACCUGGAUGCAAAGGUUCAGGCAGCUGGUGGACCUGCGUCAGCGGCACAUGGACUGUUCCAGGCCGUCAACAUCUUCAGGGAUCACAUGACCACCCAGAGGAGCCUCCACAAGGCCGUGACCUGUGAUGAAGAGGGUGCUGCAUGACGAUGAGGCGGAGAUGGAGGUUCCUCGUGUUGUUUUGUCUGCGCUGAGAGUUUCAAUAAAGUUUGUGCUGAUCUCUCCUGGAUGUUUCGAAUAAAACG